GGCAAUUGUCACUCGCUUGUCAUUCGUGGGUAUCAUUUAACGGUUUUUCUGAAGCGUUUAAUGAAGUAUACAGUGGCAAUUUUGGAGAGAAACAAGUUGCUGCUUCAUUUUGGGUCGGCGAGAUGGAGAAUGAGUUGAGGGAAUUGGGGCAACUGGACUUUUUUGGUUUGCUUAAAGAAGAUGGGGACUCUUCUAGGGUUCUAGAACAAAUCGACAAAAUUAGGGCGAGAAGUUUGUACUAGCAUAUAUCAGAUAAUUGUUCUGAUACUUGCAAAGAGCGCGGAUGUGGGAAGGCUAUGGGUUGCCGAUGGAAUAUGGAAAUUAAUGUUUCCUCAUUGCAUGAUGCGUAGAAAGGUACUUAUCUUAGUUUUAUAUAAAAUUACUCCUUUGCUUUUCGUAACUUAAUAAUAUUAUAUGAAAUUGUUUUCAGAAUUUUGUAGGUAUUCCAUUGCUGAAUUAUCCCAAUGUAUGCACUGAGUCGCCUCAGCAUGCAAAGGCAUUCUGCGAACAGCAUGUGCAAUAUUUGGAAAAAAACUUCCCUAAUGUACCCACUAGUUACGUAAUGCAUCACAAACUUUUAUACUGUUUAGCCAAAAAAUAUAUCGUGCAUGGUAUAUGCUGCUUCGCGCAUCUCGGCCGCCAUCUUCCUAGCCAGUCAAUUUCUGACAAACAAUAUAAGGAUUGUAAAGAGAAGUACAAAUAUUUGCCUGUAUCUCUUCAAUAAGGUCGUAGAUUUGUUCCUAGCGAGAGUUUGACAAAAUUUGAGUGGUUUGGCACUUUGAUGCAGUUUAGAAGUUCAGAUGACCUGCAUCAUAAUGUAUUGAAAAAGCGUUGAAUCUUGACGGUCACUUUCAUUUGAUUCAUCCGAGGUGUAUGCGGGUUCAUUUAUUUUCCUUCUAAAGAAAGAGUUUGAGGAGAUAAUCAAUUGAAAAAUGCGAGCACUGUUCAAAUGGGAUUGGAGCUUUUUGUAGCUGCUGAAGGAUCUUUUUCAAAAUACCUACACUUUUUGUAUAAGUGGAGAAUUCUGUGACAAAUAUGUCUUCAAUUUUGGUGAUAUAUUCAUAAAAUGCUACUUUUGGUGCAAGGAGACCGCCAAAGCUCUUGUCUGACUCAUAUGCCUUGAAGUAGCAAAGCAGAUUUCUGCUAUCAUCAAGUUGGUCUGUGACCAUAACUGACUCACAUAUGGAACACUUGUGCUUUUCAAAAUAUUUCUGGAGUAAGUAUCCAGCUACAUAAGCAAUUGGAUUCUCUUUCAUUAAAUUGUCACCAACCUCCUUUUCCUUGUAAUCCCUUGUCUCAACAUCGUCAGUUUUUGUGU